rnacentral:rRNA from 1 species
CACUUUGGCUGCGCGCCGCGGAGGUGCCGGCGACGCCGUCUGUGGACUGCCGACUGCGCGGUUGCGGACCGACCACGAGGAUGGCGUGCCACCGCUCCGCUGAAAGGCGGGGAGGCGGGCGGGCCAGAGCGUGCGGUGCGCAUGCGGCGCUUCCUGAGAAGAGGGAGGGGAGGUGGCGGGGCGAAAUAGGGAGGAGGCCGAUGGGGUGAUCCGGUGAUGGCGAGCCGGGAGAGUCGACGAGGUGUAAAGGAGGUGCCGACGAGGAGUGCCCCCUAGGAAGGCUCUUGAACGCCACGGACCGCUGGCUAGAGCCGCACACCACAGCGGGCAGGAGCGGCCGCGGCUCUUCGCCCUAGGGCUAAGGGCUCCACAAAGUCAAUGUAUAGACUAUCUCAGCAGGGGGAAAUCAACCGUUUUACAGUAAAGAUACCUUCAGUUCGUUACCACCAUGUUGCCUCUUUUGGAACUGGAACCUUCUUGUCGUUCUCUUUUAUUUACUCCAUGCUUUCGUUGAACUUCUUGGGAGCAGUGAUCGUUAUGUCCCAAAGGAAAGCCUACGGAGCUAUGACUCUAAGGAAGCUCGAUCUUUGACCUUACACGUCUUUAGCUCAUUUUACGACUUUAGUCGACACUUCACCGCCCGUCGUAUGUUCGGUCUUUACUAAAGGACCCUUCUUUAACGUGUACUUCGUCUCUGACCUUUCUAUAUAUCCCGACUGAUGUUCCUGUGUGAACCUUCUUGACAAGAACAAGACUCCGGUCCAAAUCUCUUGUGAUGGAGCCCCUUCCUUGUUUAAUUCAUAGAACAAAUGAGAGACCUCUUUCGCUAAUACUUAGACUGCCUACUAGUCCUCUUCUACCACACCUACUAUCUGAAGGUCCCGACCUGGUACCCUUCGUGUGGCGACUUCCACUGGGCCCUCUGGCACUCACAGAACGUUCUGACAAUAGGGCUCUCUAACCCUGAACGUUAGGAAAUGUUAGGAGGAUCUAAUAAACUCAGAAAGAUAUUCUAUCACUUCGGUAAGAACCUGGUACUCUGAUCGUUCUUCCACUUCAAACACAUGAGGUUGCUAUUCCUCUCGGUCUUCUAUUACCGCCUCCAGAAGCUGUACCUGUUCGAGCUGAGUCGUAAGCCUCCUUCCUUAGAUCGGUGGAAACUUAUGUCGUCGAUGCGCCUUGUUUACUUUCUCCUACUGUUCUUCUACGUUAGAUUACUACGCCCGAGACUGCGGAGUUCGCUCCGAAGGAAGAUGUCGCCUUGUCUAAGGGGCUUCGUGCCUCUACCUCUCGUGCCGCGUUGCUUCUUCCGGACGCGGUGUAUUGACGAUUAUCAACGAGAUAAAAUUUAUACACAUCAUUCUUAUAUGUGUUAGUAGAUCGAUCUGGAAAACGCGGUCACAAAUAGGAAAACAGCCAGUGUAAAAGCCCAGGUUCUGAAUCUUAUAAGAGACAGGCACCAUAGUAUCUUCUAGUCCUUCUCUUCGAACCCGGUCUUGCACACUACGUAACUGUAGAUCGUUCAUUGUAUUUACUCUUUAGAAUGGUCCCGACAGGACAACGUCCGCGAAGAUAUGCUUUAUUAAACUAUAAGUCGAGGGUACUCGACUGAUUGGCUACGUGAAAUGAUAAACUCACAACAAGAC